GUGGACAGGUGUGGUUCAUUCCAGCCAAUCAUGGCGUCAGUGCACAGGUGGUGGGAGGCAGCGGGAGACGGACAGUCCGGUGCAUGCUAACGUUUCAGAGCAGAGACGGUGUAAUGUCAGAUAAACAGCCUGAGAGGAAACAGACAGAGGAAUAUAAAUGUAAAAAGAAAGGCUGUGAUCAGGGAGAAGACCCGGGUUAACAUUAGAGCGGGUUUCCAGCGGUGGAGAGACCUCCGGGAGCUGAGAGGCCUGAAAACAGACGCUGCUGUGUUUCUGCUCGACAGGUGUGUUCGAGAUGUCACCAUGGAGCAGAAGCAGCAAUGUUAAAGUCUGUGAGGAUCUACAGGCCCAGGACGAGCCUUCAGAGACCAGAACCAGGUCUACGUCUACAGACCCAGCAGUGGUCUGGAGGAGGGCGUCAGGUCAGGAGCGUGUUCUUCGACGGUGGCAGGUUGUGCACCAUGAGUUGGUCUCCCAGUGUCCAGGCUGAGUCCUGCUGCAGCUCUCUGACCUAAAGACGUGAACUGUGACACCUGCUCCACCACAACACAAUGCACAAACACAACAUGGACCUCAGGCUGCAGUCUGUCUCUGUCUGACACAGAGGAGGAGACCAGUGUCACCGAUGAACCAGGACUUCAGGGAGACCUCCAGACACGACAGGAGCACAGGGAGCGAUGGAUCACUGCACCAGGUCACCAGAGUUAAACCAGGACCAGUAAAGGUUGAUGAAGGACUCAGACUCUCAGCUCCUGAUUGGUAUCGAAGCCGUGGAGCCCAACACAAGCACAACCACACAUACACCACCACCACCGAGGCUGGGGUAUGAAGGUUCACGGCCGCUCAGAAAUCAAAGCUGCUCCUCCGUGAACAGAAACAAAGGAUUAAUAAUGACUGCUUUCCAUAGUCAGAUUUAACUUUCUCUUUUAUUUCUUCACACAGAGGCAUCAAACUAUAAUCAGCUCAUUGUUCCUGUGCUUAAUUUCUCUGUCCUGCUCAGGCCUAACAUGGGCUCCGAGUCUUUGAUCUGUAUUAGCAAAGAGUUAAAUCUGUUUGAUCUCUUUGAUUGGCCUCCAACAUGGCGUCUAGACACUGAGGCCGGCGGCUGAGGAGCUCCCUCCUCUUUGUUUCUGUAGGUCCUGGCUAUGGCAACCUCUGAGGGACACAACACAUUCAGUGACGGUCCACAGAGAAAACCAGAAUCCAGAGUUUAAUUGCUCUGCUAAUUAUUCUGACUGAUCACUUGACCUUCUAAUGUCUGCUACAGAAAAAAAAUAAAGACUGAAUCACUCAGUAAAUAGAGACAUCCUUCAGGAUGGA